rnacentral:tRNA from 1 species
GAGGGUAUAGCUCAGUGGUAAAGCACGUGUUAGCAUGCAUGAGGUCCUGGGUUCAAUCCCCAGUACCUCCA